GCCAAGGAUCACAUAGCACAUUUAUUGGCUCCUCAGCAUUUUAAAAUUAAUAACACCAAUAUUGUAAGUGUCUGGGCCUGAUAUCUUUCCACCAGGCUUCCUCAGGAUGAUUCCUCACAGUGAGUCAGACCUUCUCUUCAGAACUAAUGGUAUAAUUAAGUCAUCAAAAAACAGAGAAAAAAUAUUCUGGCUGAGCCUGAAAUUUUUGCUUUGCAGGCAGACUAGUACUUGCACCUUGACUGUGAUGGAUGGAAGAGAAGUGAU